AUUUAAAUAGUUUAAAAAAAAUAUUGAUUUGUGGAAUCAAUGAUAUAAUUUAAUUUAUUUUAAAUU